CCUAACGCCUGAGAACUGAGGAGCGAACCGGCGGGAUGGCGGCGGCGGCGGCGGUGGCGGCGGCUGGGAGGGCAGUCCGGUACGGCGUGUUAUCGAAAGCGCUGCCGACACGGCUGCACAUCAACAGCGGCCGAGGUCUCGACAUCUCCGAGGCUGAGGGCCCUCUCGAUAGGUACAUCCAGGUGUUGAUGAAUGAAAGAAACCUUGGAAAAGUAAGGAGUAUAGAGAAGAUUUUGUCAAAAAGAGAUAUGGUGAGAGAAAGCUCUGAGAGCCUGAUCCUUGAGCGCAUGAAGAAGAUUGGCACACACAAUACGAAACAUGCGUGGAUGGUUGCUGGCGUCACUAUUUCCGGGUACUUGUUUGGGGCCGCAUUCGUUGCCCUUCUUACAGAGUCCCAACUGCCAAAGCGUGAAGAGGAGAAAGAGGCUUGAAUUCUGCCAAGACAAGAAGCUUGGAUUUGAAGAGUGAAAGAAGAGUACAAGGGUUUAGAAGUAAUGUAGUGCCUUCCAUCCAUGCUUAAAUUGUUGACUCAGACCUCCCUUCAACAUUUAACUGAGACCCUUUUCCUUUUUUAUAUAUUUCAUGUAACUGCAAAGUAUGCUGUGCAAAUGCUUACCGGUGUUUCCUUUUCGAAUCCCUAAUAGUAGAAUUACUCUUAAU
rnacentral:lncRNA from 1 species